rnacentral:rRNA from 1 species
UUUAAAUGUAAAUUUUUAUUAAAGUAGUAAUAGUUAUGUUCUUGAAAUUUAAAAAAUUNGGCGGUGUUUUAGUCUUUUCAGAGGAACCUGUUCUAUAAUCGAUAGUCCACGAUAAAAUAUACUUAAUUUAAUAGUUUGUAUAUCGUUGUUAUUAAAUAUUUUAUAAGAAUUAAAAUGUUUAAGAAUUUUUAUUAAAAAAAAUUUCAGAUCAAGGUGCAGUUUAUAAUUAGGAAGAAAUGGGUUACAAUAAAAUUAUUUAUAUGGAUUUGUAUUUUUAAAAGUAUAAUGAAGGUGGAUUUGAAAGUAAUAAAAUUUAGAUUGAUUUUAUGAUUUUAGCUCUAAAGUGUGU